rnacentral:lncRNA from 1 species
ACAAAUAUAUAAUUGUCUUUUCUUUUUUUUUCUUUAUCUUUUUUUAUUUUUGGUUCUCUAUAUUCGUUUUGGGCUGUGCCUUGAAAGGUCCAAUUACAUGGACAACGAAGAGACUGUGAAUCUUCCCCGAGAGUCCAAGAGACAGAAAUUGCAUGAUGAUUCCAUAGCAGACAGUUCUGCAUCGACUCCACCACCACCACCUUUGAUUCCAAUGAGAACUCCAAAGAGCAAAAAGGCAAAAUCCAAAUCUGGUCAGUCAUUCUCUCGUCAGUCUGCUGCUGCAGCUAAAAAAUCCGACAAGUGAAUCCGAAAGAUCCCAGGUUGAUAAUGGACGAAUGAGUUAACGAACUGACAAGGGGGAUCCCUAAGACAACGCCAUCCAGAUAUCGGAUUGCAAAGGAGUGCAGGGUGGGUGGGGAGAUUAGGGAUCUUGUGUGAAAGAUUUGGUGUGAAAUCCUGUUGUGAGGACAGUGAACAAAAGAAAGAAAGAAAGAAAGAAAGAAAGGAGAGUGGAUCAGACAACCACAAGGUUUCAUUGAAGAAGAAAUAACAAGGGAUUUUAGUGAAUGAAGAAUGAAUGAGCAAUCUGCUUGAAGAAUGACUGGAACCAUUCUAUGUGUCCAUAUAUGGUGUUUUGGAAAUAAAAGUAUAUUUGUUGUUGA